UUUUGAGUUAACUAGAAAGAAAAGAAUUAGGCACAAAAGGUCACUGUUGCAUUCUAUAUCUGAAUGCCCUUACUCUCAAAAGAGAAUACUAGAAAAGAGUAUGUAGAACGUUAAUGGAAAAAGAAAGCAUCUAUUUAUAGGAAGAACAGGAGAAAGUCAUAGUAAUAGCCUCAAACGCUUGCUUGAUGAGCUACUUGAAACAGAAUGAGUGGAUGGCACAGAGUAAGAAUGUCAAGGAUGAGGGCCGGGGCAUAAGGUAAAUGAGAACAGGUGGACUCCUCUAUAUGCCGGACCCUCCAGACCCUAUCCCCUUUGAAACCUUGAGCAAAACUACUGUUUUACCAGAAGAAAGCCUGAGGGUUGUGGAAAUUAUAAUUUAAAAAAAUGUGUACAAAUGAAAGAAUUCAUGACAGCAAAUUCGAGGACUGGGGGAGAGGGUUCGAAAGUGAAUAUAUAAGACAGACUGAGGAAGAAGCAGAGAUACAGCAUGGAAGGCUGCUAAGGAGAAUGCAGAUGAGAGCACACACCACCUACCAGUCAACCAGCAACUCUAUAAAUUUAAUACAACCGUACAAGUGUAGCACCUGGAUUAGAGCGGAGGAGGGCUGCACAGACAUCGCGAGACGAGGCAGCAAUCUGCGCGAGCUUUAAGGGAUGCGGUGGGGAAAUAAGGAUGAAGGAGCAUAAAGGGGGAGGGGCUGCAGCAGGGAAGAGGGUGGGUUGCAGCUGCAGAAGGGGCCUGAAAAGAGAAGGAAGGGAAAGCGACCUGGAGGUGACGAAGAGGAGGACAGGCUCAAGCGUGGGCUCACCAGGCAGAGCAGGAGAGCGAACGGGAAGCAGCAUGGCCUGAAGAGGGGGGUGGGGGGGGUCAAAGACCCAAAAGGGAAGUCGUAAUUGUAGACUGAACAAAAGUACGAGCACGGUGCAGGAGGGAAGGCGGACGGGAACGGGGAUGCUCUCCCAGGCAUGAGGCUGGUGAUGGGGGCACGAGAGUCAAAAUCGUGGUGUAAAUACGAGAGCUACGGUGAAGACGAGCCACGGUGUCCAAAACCCCACCGCCCCAGCAAACAGAAUAGAAUAGAAUAAAAUAAAAUAAAAUAAAAUAAAGGCAUGCAAGGGUCAGAAAAGGUAAACUCGGAGGACGAAUACAAAACCGAAGGGAGGAAAGGGACACACAGAAGGACAGAGGAAUGGAGAGGGGGGGCUUCGCCAGCGGGACAGAGUAACUAAGGAAAGCAGUGCGGCGUGGAGGGCGGCUGUUUCCGGAGGGAAAGCGGGAGCAGACCAGAGUCCGCGGGGGCAGAGGGAGUGGCGGGGGACAAGAAACUACGACGCUAAGGACGAGAACUUGGGGAGGACACACAGCGGCCGGGUCGGAGGAGAUGCUGUCAGAGGGGCAGGGGAGCUUCGCUACGGGCGAAGCGGGGGGCAGCGAGCCGCCUGCCAAAGAUACACUUUGCAGUGACGCCUCCUCCCCCGGGUGAGUCACAAGUGUGUAAUCCCCUCUCCUUGAGUGUGGGCAAGGCCUGCGACUUGCUUCUAGGCCAUAGAAUAUGGCAAAGGUGAUGCUGUGUCAGUCCUGUGAUUACAGCUACAUCAUAUAACACUCCUCCUUAGCAGACUGGGGGAGAGAGUCUUCUGCUGGCCUCGAGGAAGAAAGCUGCCAUGUUGUGUAGACUGCCUGUGGAGAAGGCCCGAGACAGGGAACUGCGGGCGCCUCUGGGAACUGAGAGUUGCCUCCAGCUUACAGCAAGAAAACGGGCUCCUCAGGUCUACAUUUGCAAGAAACUCUGCCAACAAUCACAUGAGUUUGGAGGGAGACCCUGGGCUCUCUAAGGAACACAGCCAGCCAGCACCUGAUUGUAGGCUCGCGAGACUCUGCAGAGGACCCGGCUAACCGGAGCCCAGACUCCUGACUCACAGACACUGUGACAUAAUCAUCGUGUGUGGUUUCAAGCUUCCAAAUCUGCAGUCAUUUGUUACACGGCAAUAGCUAACCGAUGUAAUUCUUACUGCAUUGUCUCGUCGGCGUCACUCAGUUUAGACCAUGACAAUUUCAUAGCAAUUUCGCUUUACGUUUCCAAUCUGAACAUAAGCUGCUUGAAAACAAGGACCUUGUCACAUGUGACUUGUGCCCUCAGAGCGUACGAGAGGCACAAGGGAAGGAGCUCGGCAAGUGUUGCUAGGAAGUUCGUCCACGAGAGGACCAUAAAGUGGCUGAUAGCACCUGCUGCACAGGGACGUGGUGGGGAUCGAAUGAGUAAUAUGUGGGAAAUGUCUAACAUAACGCCUAGCACAUAGCUUUUAUUAAUAAUACUUAUUAAAUAAAUAUCACACCCAGC